CACCACCUCAAUGGGCAGCUGUGCCACUGCAUCACCGCUCUUUCUGAAAAGAAUCUUGUCAUAAUAUCCAACGUGAAUCUCCCUCAGGUAGGUUGACCAAUCCUGUCUGAGUGGCAGUGAUUGUCGCAGCACAACCUGCCCUGCUGUUAGCAAGCAUUCUGUGGGCAUCUUUUCAUAGGUGAACCUGAAUGAGCUGUUUGGAGGAGAACAAAACAGCCUUUUUCAUUCCUCCCAUGGGUUGCGCAGUAACGAGCCAAAACAGAAAGAAAAGCUUGCAGGAAAAUGGAACUGAUGGGCAACAAAAGCUGGCAAUAUUGAGAGAGCAGAAGGCAGGUUUGAUAUUUUUUACUCUGUCUGCGUGCAGGUUCCCUUUGUGAGCUGCCUGUUCUCAUGUUUGCCUGUUAUGUGCUGAAGUCCAUCUGUACUCUCACACACAUUUUAGCCCAGAGUUGGUGUGUGAAAUCAGGCUGACAUCUGUUAGGGUUUGGUGUUCGGUUGAUGGGUAGGGUCCUGCAUCCCUCGGUGCUGCUUCUGCUCCCUGUGUGCCCUGUCCUGGCCCAUCUGCCUGUGAAUAACACCGCUGGGCUGAGCCUCAAACCUCCUGUGAGAUGAACGAGAUGAGCUUCUGAAGGAGGCAGGCACCAUCCUCACUCACAGUGGAUAUUCUCAGUCCAGUGAGAGCAGCUUGAAUUCACUGAAUCGUUACAAAACAAGCUGAAUCUCAUCCUGGAUUAGCAUGUGCCCGCAGGUACUGCUGAGCUGAGCGGCACGAAGCCUGUGCCAGACCCCAAAGUAAUAAAAGAUAAAUGAUGAUAUCGGUAAGCUGGCAAAUUAGGUUUAAGUGAUAUUGAACAGCUUCUCUGGUGCCCCAUUACCUCUGCCCAGGUGACCAAUGGAUUUGUUUUGAAGGUGCUCUUUCAGCAACCUUAUAUAAUAAGUAAGUUGUGUUUGCAGUGGAUACCAGAUAACAGUGUUCUGGAUACACAGCAAUGCCUCCCACAACUUUCUGACUAUUCAGCAUUCUGUUGAGCCUCACGUCUGGGAACAUUCCUAUGACAAUUUGCCAUGGUUUAUCCCAGGAGGAGCCCAGCACCGCAAAGUGAUCAACUUGCUGCCCCUCCAGUGGGGUGGCGGAGAGACAAAGAUAAAACCUGUGGGCUGAGAUAAAGGUACUUUAGUGAGACAGAAAUCAAAUGGAAAAUAAUAAUAAUAACAGCAGUAACAGCAAUAAUAAUAAUGAUAAUAAUCCCCCAAACAAGUGAUGCACGAUGCAGUUUCUUGCUGCCAGCCCACCAAAGCCUACAAUAGUGCACCCCCUCACCCAGCUUCCCCAGUGCUAUCAUUCAGCAUGGCACCAUAUAGCAUGGAAUGUCCCUGCUGUCCUGGCUGUGUUCCCUCCCAGCUCCUAGUGCUCAGCUAGAAAUCCUAAAUCCAAACUGCAGCACAGCACCAGGUGCUAAAUAGCAGAUUAACACCAUCCCAGCCAAAACUGGGACAUGGUUAUUUACACCACCACCACCCCUGCCCCCUUCAAGCUUUGCUGUUUUUCUUUCAGGCAGGAAAUCUCCCUGCUUUGGCAGAGCCCUUAGUAAAUACAUUUUUAUUUACGUGGCUGUUAUGUUUCUGUCUUCCAUCAGGCAUCCAUCUGGCUAAGCAGACAUGAAAAUAUUAAUCACAGGGGUGUUUAGACACCCACUCCAGAAUGGGAAAUUCAGAAAUUCAGUGCAAGAUUUUACAUCAAAUUUCAUUUCUAAAUAGCAUUGAUUUCACUUGAAGAGGACCAAGUACUUGGAAUGUUUUCAUGCUUUCACUUUUUUGUUUGUUUUUUGCACUCCUUUUCUUAUGACCAGCUGGGAAUGUUGGUCAUUUUAGAUGAGUUUUUUACUUAGAAAUCAUUCUAAACAUCCUGAACAAAGAUUAAGUGUGUUUAAUAUAUAAAAACAGAGUCAUAGAAUGGUUUGUGUUGGAAGGGACCUUUAAGAUCACGUAGUUCAAACCCCCCUGCUAUACACCUCCUACUAGACCAGGUUUUUCAAAGACCCUUAUAGAAGUGAAUGGACUUCAGCCAUGGAAGAAGUUUGUGCUUUAAUAAAAAACAACACUCCAUUGGCCUGGUAUCUGUGUUAGGAAUAGGUGUGAGCUUCCAAAGCAGAAUUAAGAUCUUUGUGCUUAAACUCCCACAUACCUUGUAGCUUAAUACAACCAGAAAGCUGCUGCCUUUUUUUGCCCCUUGAAUUCAUGGAGCUACAGCUUAGCUAUAAGCCUUUAUUGUAUGUUUUUGCUUUGGUGGAUCUGCACCUUCUAAAUUGUAGCUAUUAUUGAAAGUAAUAUAACAUCACUGAAAAGGGAUAAUAAUGCCACAGCUAUAUGUAUUUAAUGAAUACCCAAAGGCCACGAAGAAAUAAUUUUGACCCAACAGUGCCCCUGAAUAUUGAGUUUUGCCUGGGAGUAAAGACAGAUUUAAAACAUAAUUCUGCAGCAUCUGUUCUGCCAUCCAGCAGCAGCAGACUUUUAUUUUAUUUUAUUUUAUUUUAAAGAAAACAAAGCCUAAACUGGUAGAAAGCAGAGCAGAGGGAGAGGGCAGGGGGGAGGCUAUGGGAGGCUGUGGUCCUGCAGCAGCUCUGCGGGCUGCCCUCAGGGGUGGGAGAGACCUCCUGGGAAAUGUUCUGGAGCCAUGGAGCAAUCCUUGCUUUUUGUUUCUUGUUUCCUGUUUUGAACUGGGUCGAUGGGCACUAGAAUACCUUCCAGGCACCAAGGUUUGUGGAGUCCAGAAUGAGUGGCAGAAAUCCUUGCGUUUUGGAAGCAGAAAGUGUGAACUAUGGGGUACUACACCAAUGGAGGAGAGCCAGUGUAGAAUCUGUUUCCAAAGAAGAAAGCCCGCCUACUUUCAAAGCUCAUUUAUGAGAUACGUACAGCUGAGGACUUGAUCUUGGCCACAGCUCAGGUGAUACGUAGGGCCAGGACGACUUUCAGAGGAGAAAGACAAAGGUCUGUUUGAAACUGAUUAAUCCAAAAGGAGAUUCAAUCAUAUAAUAUUCCAAGGUUGAUUUAAAUACAUGGAGCCAAGAAACAGGGAGAAGGUAAUUAUGUCAGUCUCUUGGGUUUGAGCAUUGCAGGGGCAUUACAUGUGACAUGUGAGAUCUCUCCUGAUCCAAGAUGCUCUCAUAGAAUAGGCAAAAGGUUGAUUUGAACUUCUACAGUUUGCUUGAACUGGCACAAAUGCACCAAGCUAAAGUUGAUGGAGCAAUUCUAAACUAUACCUGCUGAGAUCUGCUACUGAUCAACACAUUUUCUUGUACCUUCUUGUUGACUUGAAUGUGUUGUACAAGUGUAUAUUAUUACAGCUGGCCCUGAGACAAAAAAGUAACUCAUGUUAUAGGAAGAACCGGCCUUAAUACAAGAUAGAUGUGCAGUUCACUACCUGAACUGAGCUUCCAUUGAAUGUGCAAAGCAGAUAAAUGCAUCUGCAGAUGCAAUUUGGUUUAAAAAAUUGUGUGUACAAAUAGCACGUAUGAUUCAGUGCUCAGUGUAGGAAGCAAGCUCACAUGAUCCAUCACUCUGGACUGUGCUUUUUGCUGGUCCUGCAGCAAGUGGAAAGUUUCCAAAUGCCUGACACAUUGGGCUUUCUGCUUUUUAAUAGGUACUUCUAUUCCAGAGUGAUGAAAUAUACAUAUACAGUUAGUGCUCCUACCUCGUUGUGUUGCCCUUGGAGGGGGCAAACAAACCUUAGUGACCUGCUUUCUCCUCUUUUUCUUGAACAGUCCUUUAAUACAUGCAGCAGUCAUCCUGAAAUGCAUUCAGUAAAUCAUCUCUGAUUACACAGUUAAAGAGCACUACUCUAUAUGGGUCAUUUAAAACAUCUGCAAGAGUUUCAUUGAUGAAGACUUUCCGAAAGGAAAGUGACAACAAGAAAGAUCUAUUGAAUUUUGAGUCACUGUAUGCUGGGAGUUACAUUAGAACCUAAAUCAGAUCCAGCAUUUCACAAGGAAAAGAAAACAGAAAAGUCAAGUGAGAUAAAGGGCUGUUUAUCCAUAGGAAGACGUGAUGUGUGUAAAAAGAGCCACCUUGCAAAAGGCUUGGCUGUUCCACACGCUCCCUUAAAGAAGAUACAAUUAGAGCUUAAUCGCUUCUCUCUUCAGUUCAAAGCUCCCACAUCUAAGUUAAUGAACACGUAUGCCAAGUCAGCCCUAUCUGCACCUUGCUUAUCUUGACCAUUUUAAACAAGCUGCCUCUGUGCUAACAUUGCUGUGUGCAGAGAUUGCACAUCCCGGCGUGGGAGCAUUGCCCUGUUCAGAGGUUGGCUUUCGCUCCAUACAGAGCACUGAGGAUCAGAUGUAAUUUCUUCCUUCUAAGGAAGUCCUAGCAAUUAAUUUACAAAUAAGUUGAUAGAAAGCUAAUAGAUGCUAAAUUAACCACAGGAGGGCUCCUGAUCUGUUCCCUGAACCGCAGGAACAUGGUGGAAAAUUACAAGAAGAAAAAAAUCAAUACAGAAAGAAGUUGGAGUCCAUGAAGUUCAGGCAAGGUACAAUUGUUACUUGACACCAGCAUCUGCUUGCAUAGUAAAUUAGUUUAUUAAUGUGCACAAUGCAGCCCACUGCUUUUCAGGCUGCUGUGUGUUGUGGUGAGGCUGGAAGAAGGAGCCAAGCUUUCCAAAGCCACGUCUGGACUAAUAAAAGUAAAUAUACCCCCUAUUAUUCUGACAGUGAGGCUGGUGGUCUCACAUCCAUUCCAUACAGCUGUUCUCCUUCUGGAACUGUCUCUUUCAAUGCAGUGUCCCAAUCUCAAGCACACAGGCUGGCUUUUCCCUGUUCCUCCCCAGCCAGCAGGGUGUCUCUUUCCCUGUCCAUGCACAACACUACGGUUUUAUGCUGUUGCAUCUUUGACAAGCAUGCUGCCAAGGCCAGAGAGUAGCAACAUGUGUGUCCUUGGGGCAUGGCCUCUGAUGUUUGUCCAUAGUGUCCAUUGACUUCAUCUGCUUUACAGCAUGCUGCCCUUGGUGGGUUGACAUUGCCCUGUACUUGCAGGUAACUGAGCACUUUCCUUUCCUUAUGUGCAUACACCCUUGUCAGUAUUGAAUCAUAUAAUAUCCCGAGUUGCAAGAGCCCCAAAAGGAUCAUCAAGUCCAGCUCCUGUAUGUAUGCUCACAUACACUCCUGUACAGGCUGUGGGCUGGCAAUUAGUGAUAGCACACACACACCUCACUAAAGAUCUCAGAUCAAAACGAUGGGAUUAUUCAAGGUAUGUGAUUUCAGUCCUUUAAUUUUUGCUGUGGUCAUAUUUAGGGAAGUGUGUGCCAUGGCCAUGGGCUCUUCAUGGUUAAUUCUCUGGCUUAAGGUGGAGCACAUAGUGAGUAGCACACAGGCUCCUCAUGUGUCAGGGCAGCACUUCCAAAUCAAUGCCCAUCACACUUUGUCUAACAUGUUGUUUUCAACCCCAGGAGCUGCUCGUUCAUCCUGCAGCCUGAAGAACCAAUAACACCUGCAGCACCCAAAGUCCGUUGAAAGCAGUGAAAGCCAAUCCCCAAAGCCUUGUAGUAGUGAUGAGCAGAAAAUCACAGCAGCCAGUGUUGGAAAAAUAGGAAUUCAGCUAAGGCAACAAUACCUUGACAACACUUGGCACUGCAAACAUCACUUAACUUGACAAACAACCAGUAAUAGCUAGAGUGAAAAUAAAGGGUUAGGCAGGUAGAGAGAUAAAGUAUGAAGAACAUGCUGAGCAAAUAACAGCCUUUUGAGAAUCAACAUUAGCAUAAUUACUAAACAUAGGUAAUUGCUGAAAUAGCAUUUGCUGGCAGCGCUGAUGUUUCUAAAUGCAACACUUUUGCUCUUCCCUAUGCAAUCUUCUGCUAGGACUAUAGAGUGUGCUUACACUCUGCUUUUAGCUGAGAGAGAGCCAGUGUGGAAAUUGGCACCAUCUGAAAGCCAGGGGAAGAGCACAUUUAACGCCCUGGAGCCCAACCAUCCUUUUUAAACAAGCUUGUCAUAGCCGGGGCUACAUGCCUUGUUAAAAUCUAUAUGUUAUCCCAUCAGCUCAGCGAUUGUCUCAGCGCCCUACUCGAUACUUGAUAAGAUUGGAUGUUCUCGAAUCAAUUCUUAUCGAUUUCUUGCUGCUGAAAUAGGAUAAGCAUGUGACAGACACAAUGAGCAUUUAGUGCAGCAGAUCAAGCCAUUCCAGCACUAGGAAACAACUUGGCUGCUCAAAAAAGAAAAAAAAAAAAAAGAAA